UACGUAGGGCGCAAGCGUUGUCCGGAAUUAUUGGGCGUAAAGAGCUCGUAGGCGGCUUGUCGCGUCGGUUGUGAAAGCCCGGGGCUUAACCCCGGGUCUGCAGUCGAUACGGGCAGGCUAGAGUUCGGUAGGGGAGAUCGGAAUUCCUGGUGUAGCGGUGAAAUGCGCAGAUAUCAGGAGGGACACCGGUGGCGAAGGCGGAUCUCUGGGCCGAUACUGACGCUGAGGAGCGAAAGCGUGGGGAGCGAACAGG
rnacentral:rRNA from 1 species